ACGGUUGUCAAGAUUUCUCGAGAACUACUCAACCGAUCUUGAUGAAAUUUUAGACAGGAGUUCUGCUGUCCACGCGGACGCAUCUUUUUUCCGAGGGCUCGCCGGAAAUGACGUCACAUUAGCAGAGUUUUUAAUAUUUUUUUUUUUAAUUUCAGUAAUCCCUUAUUAAACAUGUAUCUUUAAGACAGUAAAAAGUUUGAAUAAAAUAUUUCAUUUUUUCUAUUAAAAACAAAUUGUU